rnacentral:rRNA from 1 species
UACGGAGGGAGCUAGCGUUGUUCGGAAUUACUGGGCGUAAAGCGCGCGUAGGCGGCUUUGUAAGUUAGAGGUGAAAGCCCGGGGCUCAACCCCGGAACUGCCUUUAAGACUGCAUCGCUUGAAUCCGGGAGAGGUGAGUGGAAUUCCGAGUGUAGAGGUGAAAUUCGUAGAUAUUCGGAAGAACACCAGUGGCGAAGGCGGGUCUCUGGGCCGAUACUGACGCUGAGGAGCGAAAGCGUGGGGAGCGAACAGG